rnacentral:tRNA from 1 species
GUUGGAGUGGCAGAUCCCGGCUAUUGCAAAAGACCUAAGCCCUUUACAAGGAGGUUCAAAUCCUCCCUCCAACU